GACGAACGCUGGCGGCGUGCUUAACUCAUGCAAGUCGAACGGAAAGGCCCUGCUUUUGUGGGGUGCUCGAGUGGCGAACGGGUGAGUAACACGUGAGUAACCUGCCCUUGACUUUGGGAUAACUUCAGGAAACUGGGGCUAAUACCGGAUAGGAGCUCCUGCUGCAUGGUGGGGGUUGGAAAGUUUCGGCGGUUGGGGAUGGACUCGCGGCUUAUCAGCUUGUUGGUGGGGUAGUGGCUUACCAAGGCUUUGACGGGUAGCCGGCCUGAGAGGGUGACCGGCCACAUUGGGACUGAGAUACGGCCCAGACUCCUACGGGAGGCAGCAGUGGGGAAUAUUGCACAAUGGGCGGAAGCCUGAUGCAGCAACGCCGCGUGCGGGAUGACGGCCUUCGGGUUGUAAACCGCUUUCGCCUGUGACGAAGCGUGAGUAACGGUAAUGGGUAAAGAAGCACCGGCUAACUACGUG
rnacentral:rRNA from 1 species